AUUGAACGCUGGCGGCAGGCCUAACACAUGCAAGUCGAACGAGUGGCGGACGGGUGAGUAAUGUCUGGGAAACUGCCCGAUGGAGGGGGAUAACUACUGGAAACGGUAGAUAAUACCGCAUACCAUCGGAUCGGCUCAGAUGGGAUUAGCUAGUAGUGGGGGUAACGGCUCACAUAGGCGACGAUCCCUAGCUGGUCUGAGAGGAUGACCGGCCAAACUGGAAUUGAGACACGGGCCAGCCUCCUACGGGAGGCAGCAGGGGGGAAUAUUGCACAAUGGGCGGAAGCCUGAUGCAGCCAUGCCGCGUGUAUGAAGAAGGCCUUCGGGUUGUAAAGUACUUUCAGCGAGGAGGCGUUACUCGCAGAAGAAGCACCGGCUAACUCCGUGCCAGCAGCGCGGUAAUUC
rnacentral:rRNA from 1 species